GCCUUUAGCCAUGAAAAAAGAACAAAAAAUUAGUGUUAGUACUGUUGUGUUACUAGAAAAAAACUUGAUUUAAAAACAAUGACAAAAAAAUGCUAUCUAUUCAUAGUUGCAAUACUAUCUCUCCAUAGUCGAGCAAUUUUAUUCAAAUGACAUAACAAAGGAGUGAUACUAGUGUAGGUGACCAUUUAACACAUAAACACAACUGACCCAUAAAGUAUGAAAAAAUAGACAAAAAAAAAUAUAAUUUCUACCAAAUUACAAAUAACUUGCCUCACUAAUAAAUAUUAAGUUGCUUAACACAAAAAAAUAUAUCCCAUUUACCUCAGCCUUUCCCUUCUUGAUUGAGAAGGAACAACUUCUAGUGGUGUUGGUUCUGAUUCCCUUGAAUCACCAGCCGGUGCAUCAACUUUAGUGUGCUUUUUUGAUUUUUCAUUCUUUUCCACAACACUAGCAGGAGGAGGGAGCCUUUAGCCAUGAAAAAAAACAAAAAAAAGGGCUUAGUACUGUUAUGUUACUAGAAAAAAACUUGAUUUAAAAACAAGGACAAAAAAUGCUAUCUGCUCAUAGUUGCAAAUACUAUCUCUCCAUAGUCGAUCAACUCAUUGAAGUGACAUAACAAAAAGAUUGAUACUAGUAUAGGUGACCAUUUAACACAGAAACGCGGCUGCCCCAUAAGUAUAAAAAUAGACACACAAAAAAAAUUGCUACCAAAUUACAAAUAACUUGCCUCACUACUAAUAUUAACUUGCUUAAUAACUAAAAUUGCACGCAUAUUUUAAAAGUGGUUCUCUACUACUCAUAAACACUUAGAAACACAUGCACCAAAAUGCAUUGUUUUAGGAUUCAUCUAGCCUGUUGCACACUCCAGCUUUCCUGCAACAGAAAAAAGUUGGCAAAAAUAAAUCAACUUUGGUGUCAACUUUACUAUAACAACAUGGCAGAAAAAAGCGUGUGGAGCUAGAAAAAUGUAAUUUUUUGUGUGGGGUGGGGUAGGAAGCAGAGGUGCAAAUAUUUAUUCAAAAAAAUUACUGAAAAAAUCAAUCCAAUAGAAACUGUAACAUACUUAACACAAAAAAAAUAUAUCUCAUUUACCUCAGCCUUUCCCUUCUUGAUUGAGAAGGAACAACUUCUAGUGGUGUUGGUUCUGUUUCCCUUGAAUCACCAGCCGGUGGAUCAACUUUGUUGGUUGCAUCAUCCUCACCAGAGACACCCUCAUCCUCUAGCUCCACUUCUUUGGCCACCUCCUCAUCCUCUAGCUCCACUUCUUUGUCCACCUCCUCAUCUUCCUCGUCCUCGUCCUCAUCCUCGUCCUCCAUCCAAUCCUCCUCCUCCUCCUCCUCAUCCUCCUCGUCCUCCUCGAUCUCUUCAUCUUCAUCAACAUCCUGCUUGUGAGUAUUGGUAGUUCUUUUCCGUGUUGAUCUUCUGGGCUCCUCAUCCCCUUUGUCUUCAUUUGUGUUCUUUUGAUUAGGAUUGGUAGUUCUUCUCCGUCUAGCUGUUCUGGUCUCCUCUUGCUCCUCAGAAUCAUCACUAAUUGUGGACACCUCACUUAUAAAUGUUCCUAUCACUUCAGUGAAACCGAUACAAGCUUUCUUGACAAUUUCAGACAACUUCCUUUUCUUCUGUAAUUAAAAAAAGUGUAAAAAAUGUUAGCUCAUAAGUGAUAUGUAUCCCUUAAUAUUGUAACAUCUAUUUCAGCUGAUAUGUAUGCCUAUUUUCAAGAAAACUAUGUAGUUUCUGAAGCAAAAAAGACCCUGGAAAAAAAGGUAAUCUAUAUAAAAACAAAGUGCUCACACGUCUUUAUAUGGGUUUCUACACUUCCUUUUCAAGAACACAUAGACAACUCAUUCGCUGUCACUUGCUUUUGGAAGGUGCUAUCUAUAACAAUUGAUUCCAGGAUUCAGCUGCGCCCAACAGAGCAUACCUUUGGCAGUUUAAUCACUGCCACAUCUCUGUCAUCAGGCAGCUCGGCUGUGCUUGACCAAGUAUUCGUGAGUGUGCUGAAAUCUGGCUGUUCUAGUGACCUCUAUGUGGGAAGUGCUCUGGUUAGCGCUUUUGCGAGACAUGGCUUGAUUGAUGAAGCUAAGGACAUCUUUCUCAGUUUCAAAAAAGAAAAAGAAUGCAGUCACCUUAAACGGAUUGAUAGUUGGCUUGGUCAAGCAACACUGCAGUGUAAGAAGCAGUAAAAAGUUUUUUGUGGGAACAAGGAAUACUAUUGUUGUAUGUUGUGUUGCUCAGUGCCAUAGCUGAAUAUUCUAUACCUGAAAGAAGGUUUGAGGAUCAACAAACUUCUAGUGGUGUUGGUUCUGUUUCCCUUGAAUCACCGGCCGGUGGAUCAACUUUGUUGGUUGCAUCAUCCUCACCAGAGACACCCUCAUCCUCUAGCUCCACUUCUUUGGCCACCUCCUCAUCCUCUAGCUCCACUUCUUUGUCCACCUCCUCAUCUUCCUCGUCCUCGUCCUCAUCCUCGUCCUCCUUCCAAUCCUCCUCCUCCUCCUCCUCAUCCUCCUCGUCCUCCUCGAUCUCUUCAUCUUCAUCAACAUCCUCUUCUAUUCCUCCAGUCGACUCAAAGGAGCGAGGGGUUCAAUGCUUUGUUGAAGAAGUAUGUCAACCCAAACUUGUCAGUGCUACAGUUUGUGAGGCAGUACCAGAAAAUACAAGAAAAGUGUCUGGUUGCACAGGAUGGGCAAGACUUCAGGACCGAUGAGAAUGAGCGAAGACGAUGGUCAAGGCAUCCACUUGAGAAGCAUGCUUCCACUGUAUACACAAAGAAUAUGUUUUACAGGUUCUCCAAAGAGUUUGAGAAAACUGCAGAAUAUGAUGUGAAGCCUGUAGGGCAGUUCCAAUAUUGGUUGGAGCCCAAUAAUAGCUUUGUUUUUGGGUAUGGAAAAAGGAACUAUCUUGUUACAGCAAUAGAAGAGGAUGAAAGCUAUUGCUGCGAGUGCAGCAAGUUUGAUAGGGAUGGAAUCAUUUGCUGCCACAUUAUGAGAGUUAUGGUCAGAAUGGGUGUGAAAUUAAUACCAGAAAGGUACAUCCUUAAAAGGUGGACGCAACAAGCAAUUGCUAGUGAUACUAACCAGGUCCAAAAUGUGAAUGCACCAGUGGGACUUGUGGCCCGUGGGAUGCCAUUGACUAGUGAGAAAACUUUGAGAUUUACCAACGCAACCACCGCGUUUGCAGCAAUAGCAGUGGAAGGUUGUACAAAUGAUGAAAACUAUGCUAUUUUGGAGAAGCACAUCAAGGAGAUGCGAUCUGAAUUUGAAGAAAUUAAGAAAAGGACGAUGGCAAAUAGGCAAAACACUAGUGGUGCAGAAGGUGGUGCUACAGAAGGUGCACAAAAUGGUACAGGUGUCUCUACUCUAACUGGACCUUCAUUGCAAACUGCAAGUUUAAAAAACUAGACACUAUAUUCUGCUUUGCUUCAUUUUUGUAUGUCUGUACUAUAUUGAUUAGUUGCUUGUUGCAUUUCACAUUGUAGGUGCAGUGGCUGGUCCAAAUACAUCAAGUGUAGCGAACCCCCCAAAAUCAAAAGCUAAAGGGCGCAGGAAGGAGAAGGCACACAAAAAAGGGAUGAAUGGUCAAGCGAAGAGGAAGAAUAAGUGCAGCAUUUGCAAAUCAUAUGAUCACAAUGCACAGAGAUGCCCGGACAAACUCAAAAAAAAAAUAAAAACAGUUUCUUAGUGGGAAUACAUACCUAGCAAAUAUUCAUUUUACAUCUCCAUGCAAUAUUGUUUUCCGGAUGUUGGAGCCAUUUGUAUGUGAGCAUCUUUCGAAUAGUUGGCAUAUCUUUUUCCUUAAACUCUGGCAUGUUAAUACCAUUCCAGUGUUCACAGUGCAUUAGCAUGUGGAACCCGCAGUCAUGACUGCAAAAAAAAAGUCAUAAUCAUAUGGAGGAUGACAGAAACUUUAGAUAUGAAAAUAAAUAUGUAUGUUGAACUGUUGACCUACUUGUUUGACUGCAAUGGAACAUUAAUAUCAAUCAGUUGGUACUUGUCAAUAUUCUUCCUUGAAUUAGGGUAAUGUUUGCGCCAAAGUUCCUUAAUUGCAGUGAUCAAAUUGUUGCAGCAUGUCUUCAAGUUAAUGUCAGCGAGAGACCUCAUAGAAUCGAGAACUUCAAACCUUUCUUCCCUUAGGUUCAAGACUAGAAGGAAGAAGUGGCCCACUGUUCUAUCAAGCCUUUUGAAACGAAUAUUUUGCAAUACAGGAAACAUGACCUACAAAAAAAAAUGCUAGCAAAAAAAUGAGAAUAGCUACUAAAACCAAAAAAAAGGCUUCAUAGCAUCUAUAUUGCCAGAAAAAACAUAAUCCUUGAGUGAUAUAACAGCUAGCAGGCUUCUAAAAAAAUAAAAAUAAAAAAAUGGUCGUGAAUCGAAUUGAGAUAUGGACAAUUUAACAUAGGAACUACCUGUUGUUCUCUGCCCUACACAUGUCAUAUUUUGUUAUUUUCUAUAAAUUGCUCCACAAAUUUUAGAACACAAAAACAAAAAGUUAUGAUGGUAGGACACCAAGAUUGCAUAUUUUUUUUUAAAAAAAAAGUAUAACCUAAAACGAAACAAUAUUAUAGCCUAAUGAACAUAGUUAAAAUGCCUAUUUCGAAAAAAAAGAAGAGGAUUAAGUGGACGAUCAAUUACCAAUUGAGAACGGUCUAGGUGAUGGAGGCUUCUUUGGAAAGCACAAUUAAUCUCCCCAUUAUCCAGAAUCCCAUCUUGUAGAAAAGACUGUAAAAAAAGAGAAUUAAAAAAAUAAUGUUAGAAAAAAAGUGCUUGUUUGAAAAAAAUAAGCAUACAAACUAAGAAACAUCAGUAAAAGUAAAAAGAAAAGGGGGGAUUCUCACAGCUAUUCUUAGUGGGAGUAUUUGUUUUACAGGGAUCUUGGCCUUUCUGUCUUUUAAUGCAUAUAUAGCAAUUUCAGCUACUGUGUUGAAUAAUUUUCCACCUGGUUUAACUGAUUCAGAAAGGUGCUUCAAGCUCACAUAGUAAUCUGGAUAACUCGCUGCGUACAACAUAGAUGGGUCAUAGUUAAAAAAACAAAAAUACAAAAUGAAUUCGAGAGUUUAACAGGCGGAAAUGCCAGUCAAAAAAGAAAAAGUUGCACAUACUCUCCUUGGCUUGAGCUUUGACUCGAACUCCUGGUUGACCUUCUAGUGGCCGAGCAUACCACAUCAUAUGCACGACUUGCAACCUUGCUGCACUUCAAGCCGUUUCUGGCAUAAUCAAUAUAUGGGGACUGCAAAGCACGCCCUGGUCGUGCUGGCCUCCUAGGCGGAGGUUGAUACGCAGGUGUGUGUGAAGUGCUGGGAGCAGAUUGUAGACCAUAGGUUGUAGCUGAUGUUGUCUUUUCAACUCUUGUUGGCUUCCUUUCUGAAUGUUCAAUUGGGUUAUCUGUAGGUACAGGAGUUUGCUUAACUGCACUGCUAGAAAGUAACUUAUCUGUCCUAUUCCUUUCUAUAUCUUCAAUUUGGGCAUCAAGUUCUUUAAAUUGUUCUUCACUUAAAUUGUCCCAAAAAUAAUCAUCAUCAUAUUUCCUUGCGUUCCUUUCUGAAUUACAUUCACUUGGCUUUGAUGGUGGACGUUCACGGGGUGUGGGAAAAUCAAUGAAUCUCAUAAUGUCCAUUGGUGGGGGAUCAAAAUCCCAUUUAGAGUGCUUUUCUGAUUUUUCUUUGUUUUCCACAACACUAGCAGAAGGAGGGAGCCUUUAGCCAUGAAAAAAGAACAAAAAAUUAGUGUUAGUACUGUUGUGUUACUAGAAAAAAACUUGAUUUAAAAACAAUGACAAAAAAAUGCUAUCUAUUCAUAGUUGCAAUACUAUCUCUCCAUAGUCGAGCAAUUUUAUUCAAAUGACAUAACAAAGGAGUGAUACUAGUGUAGGUGACCAUUUAACACAUAAACACAACUGACCCAUAAAGUAUGAAAAAAUAGACACAAAAAAAAAUAUAAUUUCUACCAAAUUACAAAUAACUUGCCUCACUAAUAAAUAUUAAGUUGCUUAACACAAAAAAAUAUAUCCCAUUUACCUCAGCCUUUCCCUUCUUGAUUGAGAAGGAACAACUUCUAGUGGUGUUGGUUCUGAUUCCCUUGAAUCACCAGCCGGUGCAUCAACUUUAGUGUGCUUUUUUGAUUUUUCAUUCUUUUCCACAACACUAGCAGGAGGAGGGAGCCUUUAGCCAUGAAAAAAAACAAAAAAAAGGGCUUAGUACUGUUAUGUUACUAGAAAAAAACUUGAUUUAAAAACAAGGACAAAAAAAUGCUAUCUGCUCAUAGUUGCAAAUACUAUCUCUCCAUAGUCGAUCAACUCAUUGAAGUGACAUAACAAAAAGAUUGAUACUAGUAUAGGUGACCAUUUAACACAGAAACGCGGCUGCCCCAUAAGUAUAAAAAUAGACACACAAAAAAAAUUGCUACCAAAUUACAAAUAACUUGCCUCACUACUAAUAUUAACUUGCUUAAUAACUAAAAUUGCACGCAUAUUUUAAAAGUGGUUCUCUACUACUCAUAAACACUUAGAAACACAUGCACCAAAAUGCAUUGUUUUAGGAUUCAUCUAGCCUGUUGCACACUCCAGCUUUCCUGCAACAGAAAAAAGUUGGCAAAAAUAAAUCAACUUUGGUGUCAACUUUACUAUAACAACAUGGCAGAAAAAAGCGUGUGGAGCUAGAAAAAUGUAAUUUUUUGUGUGGGGUGGGGUAGGAAGCAGAGGUGCAAAUAUUUAUUCAAAAAAAUUACUGAAAAAAUCAAUCCAAUAGAAACUGUAACAUACUUAACACAAAAAAAAUAUAUCUCAUUUACCUCAGCCUUUCCCUUCUUGAUUGAGAAGGAACAACUUCUAGUGGUGUUGGUUCUGUUUCCCUUGAAUCACCAGCCGGUGGAUCAACUUUGUUGGUUGCAUCAUCCUCACCAGAGACACCCUCAUCCUCUAGCUCCACUUCUUUGGCCACCUCCUCAUCCUCUAGCUCCACUUCUUUGUCCACCUCCUCAUCUUCCUCGUCCUCGUCCUCAUCCUCGUCCUCCUUCCAAUCCUCCUCCUCCUCCUCCUCAUCCUCCUCGUCCUCCUCGAUCUCUUCAUCUUCAUCAACAUCCUCUUCUAUUCCUCCAGUCGACUCAAAGGAGCGAGGGGUUCAAUGCUUUGUUGAAGAAGUAUGUCAACCCAAACUUGUCAGUGCUACAGUUUGUGAGGCAGUACCAGAAAAUACAAGAAAAGUGUCUGGUUGCACAGGAUGGGCAAGACUUCAGGACCGAUGAGAAUGAGCGAAGACGAUGGUCAAGGCAUCCACUUGAGAAGCAUGCUUCCACUGUAUACACAAAGAAUAUGUUUUACAGGUUCUCCAAAGAGUUUGAGAAAACUGCAGAAUAUGAUGUGAAGCCUGUAGGGCAGUUCCAAUAUUGGUUGGAGCCCAAUAAUAGCUUUGUUUUUGGGUAUGGAAAAAGGAACUAUCUUGUUACAGCAAUAGAAGAGGAUGAAAGCUAUUGCUGCGAGUGCAGCAAGUUUGAUAGGGAUGGAAUCAUUUGCUGCCACAUUAUGAGAGUUAUGGUCAGAAUGGGUGUGAAAUUAAUACCAGAAAGGUACAUCCUUAAAAGGUGGACGCAACAAGCAAUUGCUAGUGAUACUAACCAGGUCCAAAAUGUGAAUGCACCAGUGGGACUUGUGGCCCGUGGGAUGCCAUUGACUAGUGAGAAAACUUUGAGAUUUACCAACGCAACCACCGCGUUUGCAGCAAUAGCAGUGGAAGGUUGUACAAAUGAUGAAAACUAUGCUAUUUGGAGAAGCACAUCAAGGAGAUGCGAUCUGAAUUUGAAGAAAUUAAGAAAAGGACGAUGGCAAAUAGGCAAAACACUAGUGGUGCAGAAGGUGGUGCUACAGAAGGUGCACAAAAUGGUACAGGUGUCUCUACUCUAACUGGACCUUCAUUGCAAACUGCAAGUUUAAAAAACUAGACACUAUAUUCUGCUUUGCUUCAUUUUUGUAUGUCUGUACUAUAUUGAUUAGUUGCUUGUUGCAUUUCACAUUGUAGGUGCAGUGGCUGGUCCAAAUACAUCAAGUGUAGCGAACCCCCCAAAAUCAAAAGCUAAAGGGCGCAGGAAGGAGAAGGCACACAAAAAAGGGAUGAAUGGUCAAGCGAAGAGGAAGAAUAAGUGCAGCAUUUGCAAAUCAUAUGAUCACAAUGCACAGAGAUGCCCGGACAAACUCAAAAAAAAAUAAAAACAGUUUCUUAGUGGGAAUACAUACCUAGCAAAUAUUCAUUUUACAUCUCCAUGCAAUAUUGUUUUCUGGAUGUUGGAGCCAUUUGUAUGUGAGCAUCUUUCGAAUAGUUGGCAUAUCUUUUUCCUUAAACUCUGGCAUGUUAAUACCAUUCCAGUGUUCACAGUGCAUUAGCAUGUGGAACCCGCAGUCAUGACUGCAAAAAAAAAAGUCAUAAUCAUAUGGAGGAUGACAGAAACUUUAGAUAUGAAAAUAAAUAUGUAUGUUGAACUGUUGACCUACUUGUUUGACUGCAAUGGAACAUUAAUAUCAAUCAGUUGGUACUUGUCAAUAUUCUUCCUUGAAUUAGGGUAAUGUUUGCGCCAAAGUUCCUUAAUUGCAGUGAUCAAAUUGUUGCAGCAUGUCUUCAAGUUAAUGUCAGCGAGAGACCUCAUAGAAUCGAGAACUUCAAACCUUUCUUCCCUUAGGUUCAAGACUAGAAGGAAGAAGUGGCCCACUGUUCUAUCAAGCCUUUUGAAACGAAUAUUUUGCAAUACAGGAAACAUGACCUACAAAAAAAAUGCUAGCAAAAAAAUGAGAAUAGCUACUAAAACCAAAAAAAGGCUUCAUAGCAUCUAUAUUGCCAGAAAAAACAUAAUCCUUGAGUGAUAUAACAGCUAGCAGGCUUCUAAAAAAAUAAAAAUAAAAAAAUGGUCGUGAAUCGAAUUGAGAUAUGGACAAUUUAACAUAGGAACUACCUGUUGUUCUCUGCCCUACACAUGUCAUAUUUUGUUAUUUUCUAUAAAUUGCUCCACAAAUUUUAGAACACAAAAACAAAAAGUUAUGAUGGUAGGACACCAAGAUUGCAUAUUUUUUUUUAAAAAAAAGUAUAACCUAAAACGAAACAAUAUUAUAGCCUAAUGAACAUAGUUAAAAUGCCUAUUUUGAAAAAAAAGAAGAGGAUUAAGUGGACGAUCAAUUACCAAUUGAGAACGGUCUAGGUGAUGGAGGCUUCUUUGGAAAGCACAAUUAAUCUCCCCAUUAUCCAGAAUCCCAUCUUGUAGAAAAGACUGUAAAAAAAGAGAAUUAAAAAAAUAAUGUUAGAAAAAAAGUGCUUGUUUGAAAAAAAUAAGCAUACAAACUAAGAAACAUCAGUAAAAGUAAAAAGAAAAGGGGGGAUUCUCACAGCUAUUCUUAGUGGGAGUAUUUGUUUUACAGGGAUCUUGGCCUUUCUGUCUUUUAAUGCAUAUAUAGCAAUUUCAGCUACUGUGUUGAAUAAUUUUCCACCUGGUUUAACUGAUUCAGAAAGGUGCUUCAAGCUCACAUAGUAAUCUGGAUAACUCGCUGCGUACAACAUAGAUGGGUCAUAGUUAAAAAAACAAAAAUACAAAAUGAAUUCGAGAGUUUAACAGGCGGAAAUGCCAGUCAAAAAAGAAAAAGUUGCACAUACUCUCCUUGGCUUGAGCUUUGACUCGAACUCCUGGUUGACCUUCUAGUGGCCGAGCAUACCACAUCAUAUGCACGACUUGCAACCUUGCUGCACUUCAAGCCGUUUCUGGCAUAAUCAAUAUAUGGGGACUGCAAAGCACGCCCUGGUCGUGCUGGCCUCCUAGGCGGAGGUUGAUACGCAGGUGUGUGUGAAGUGCUGGGAGCAGAUUGUAGACCAUAGGUUGUAGCUGAUGUUGUCUUUUCAACUCUUGUUGGCUUCCUUUCUGAAUGUUCAAUUGGGUUAUCUGUAGGUACAGGAGUUUGCUUAACUGCACUGCUAGAAAGUAACUUAUCUGUCCUAUUCCUUUCUAUAUCUUCAAUUUGGGCAUCAAGUUCUUUAAAUUGUUCUUCACUUAAAUUGUCCCAAAAAUAAUCAUCAUCAUAUUUCCUUGCGUUCCUUUCUGAAUUACAUUCACUUGGCUUUGAUGGUGGACGUUCACGGGGUGUGGGAAAAUCAAUGAAUCUCAUAAUGUCCAUUGGUGGGGGAUCAAAAUCCCAUUUAGAGUGCUUUUCUGAUUUUUCUUUGUUUUCCACAACACUAGCAGAAGGAGGGAGCCUUUAGCCAUGAAAAAAGAACAAAAAAUUAGUGUUAGUACUGUUGUGUUACUAGAAAAAAACUUGAUUUAAAAACAAUGACAAAAAAAUGCUAUCUAUUCAUAGUUGCAAUACUAUCUCUCCAUAGUCGAGCAAUUUUAUUCAAAUGACAUAACAAAGGAGUGAUACUAGUGUAGGUGACCAUUUAACACAUAAACACAACUGACCCAUAAAGUAUGAAAAAAUAGACACAAAAAAAAAUAUAAUUUCUACCAAAUUACAAAUAACUUGCCUCACUAAUAAAUAUUAAGUUGCUUAACACAAAAAAAUAUAUCCCAUUUACCUCAGCCUUUCCCUUCUUGAUUGAGAAGGAACAACUUCUAGUGGUGUUGGUUCUGAUUCCCUUGAAUCACCAGCCGGUGCAUCAACUUUAGUGUGCUUUUUUGAUUUUUCAUUCUUUUCCACAACACUAGCAGGAGGAGGGAGCCUUUAGCCAUGAAAAAAAACAAAAAAAAGGGCUUAGUACUGUUAUGUUACUAGAAAAAAAACUUGAUUUAAAAACAAGGACAAAAAAAAUGCUAUCUGCUCAUAGUUGCAAAUACUAUCUCUCCAUAGUCGAUCAACUCAUUGAAGUGACAUAACAAAAAGAUUGAUACUAGUAUAGGUGACCAUUUAACACAGAAACGCGGCUGCCCCAUAAGUAUAAAAAUAGACACACAAAAAAAAUUGCUACC
rnacentral:lncRNA from 1 species